rnacentral:tRNA from 1 species
UCCUGGUGGCUGAGAUGGUAAAGAAUCCACCUGCAAUGUGGGAGACCUGGGUUCGAUCCCUGGGUCAGGAA